rnacentral:rRNA from 1 species
GUAGGGAAUAUUGGGCAAUGGAUGCAAGUCUGACCCAGCCAUCCCGCGUGCCGGAAGAAGGCCCUCAGGGUUGUAAACGGCUUUUGACGGUGAAGAAUCGACAGGAUGCGUCCUGUUUUGACGGUAGCCGUUGAAUAAGCACCGGCUAACUCCGUGCCAGCAGCCGCGGUAAUACGGAGGGUGCGAGCGUUGUUCGGAUUUAUUGGGUUUUAAGGGUGCGUAGGCUUGAAGGUCAGUUCGCGGUGAAAAGCUGUCGCUUAACGAUAGUCUUGCCGCAGAUACUUCCUUUCUUGGAUGAGGAGGAGGCCACUGGAACGGAUGGUGUAGCGGUGAAAUGCAUAGAUAUCAUCCAGAACACCGAUUGCGAAGGCAGGUGGCUGUACCUUAAUCGACGCUGAUGCACGAAAGCAUGGGGAGCAAACAGGAUUAGAAACCCGUGUAGUCC